UGAACGCUAGCGGCAGGCUUAAUACAUGCAAGUCGAACGGCAAGGAUCUUUCGGGAUCCCUAGAGUGGCGCACGGGUGAGUAACACGUACACAACAUACCCUAUAUUGGAGGAUAGCCUCGGGAAACUGGGGGUAAUAUUCCAUAGUAUUUAUUGGAGGCAUCUCCUGAUAAAUUAAAGAGCAAUCGAUAUAGGAUUGGUGUGCGUCCCAUUAGCUAGUUGGUAGGGUAACGGCCUACCAAGGCGACGAUGGGUAGCUGGCGUGAGAGCGCGACCAGCCACACUGGAACUGAGACACGGUCCAGACUCCUACGGGAGGCAGCAGUAGGGAAUAUUGGACAAUGGAGGCAACUCUGAUCCAGCCAUGCCGCGUGGAGGAUGACUGCCCUCUGGGUUGUAAACUCCUUUUGUACAGGAAGAAACCUCCUCAUUUAUGAGUGAGCUGACGGUACUGUAAGAAUAAGCACCGGCUAACUCCGUG
rnacentral:rRNA from 1 species